CCUACGGGAGGCAGCAGUGAGGAAUAUUGGUCAAUGGACGAGAGUCUGAACCAGCCAAGCAGCGUGAAGGAUGACUGCCCUAUGGGUUGUAAACUUCUUUUAUAUGGGAAUAAAAUGUUCCACGUGUGGGAUUUUGUAUGUACCAGAUGAAUAAGGAUCGGCUAACUCCGUGCCAGCCGCCGCGGUAAUACGGAGGAUCCGAGCGUUAUCCGGAUUUAUUGGGUUUAAAGGGGGCGUAGGUGGAUUGUUAAGUCAGUUGUGAAAGUUUGCGGCUCAACCGUAAAAUUGCAGUUGAAACUGGCAGUCUUGAGUACAGUAGAGGUGGGCGGAAUUCGUGGUGUAGCGGUGAAAUGCUUAGAUAUCACGAAGAACUCCGAUUGCGAAGGCAGCUCACUGGACUGCAACUGACACUGAGGCUCGAAAGUGUGGGUAUCAAACAGGAUUAGAUACCCUUGUAGUC
rnacentral:rRNA from 1 species